AUUCCUGUCUGCGGCUGCUCUCAGCUCUGGGAACACUGCCCUUUACUUUGCUUCCUUCCUUUUCCCACGCUCUCUCUGGCUUCCACGCCAGCCUAGCGCAUCCCUAAUUUCAGACACUCCAGUCCUUCAGGAUCCCCGGACAGUAUCACCUCCCUGGCCACCAGCAGCAGCCCUCCCCGCCCGACGGUGCCCUCGCGUGGGCCGGCACCUACCCGCCAGGCAAGCGGUGGUGUCCAUCCACUUGAGCAGCUGCCCUGCGCUCAGCUCGCCGCGGGAGUCGGCAUGAGCCGGCUGGAUGGCCUGGCUCAUGAGCACCUCACCCGGCGCCACCAUCGACUCCAUCGUCCUGGCUGAGAGAACCCCAGACGCCAGCAGCAGGCCAUCCCGAUCCCCUGGGGCCCGCCCCCGCUCCAAAGGGCGCUGCCCGCGCCCGCUGCCAGGUGCUUAGGAGGAAAACUACCACCAGUACUACACACUGUGCAGAGGCAAACGCUGCAAAGCCGAGAGGGAAAAGAUGCUCAACCCUUGCAUCUCAUCUCCUGGGAUGGAAGGCAGGCAUGGAGAAACCGGGCCACAAGCUAACCGGGGUAUGGAGUACUGAGAACUGUGCAGAGUCCCUGCUGAGGACACAGCCCCAGAUCAAUGUGGGGAACGAUGUAGGCGGCUGUGGGGCUUCACAUGCCAAGAUGAAUUCACUUCCAAGCUGAAGAAUGUUUACCUGAAUGGUCCUUUCAAAUGCAAUGGAGUUCAGACGCCUGACAGAAUCAUGAAAAGAGAAAUGGAACAGAUUUUCUCUAUUUAAUUUCUGGAGGGACAGGUGUGUCUGAGCACUUUCUUUGGCUGAAGGGGAACAGAAUUUUUCUCUAUUUAGUUUCUGAAGGGACAGGUGUGUCUGAGCACUUUCCUUGCCUGAAGGGAGCGGAAUUGAUUUGUUAGUCUUUCAGAAAUCAAGAAAUCUUAACCUCAGACUUUUAGCUGUAAAAUUCCUGUUCACUGGUAAUUGAACCCAAACUGGAAUGUUUUUUUUAAAAAGCGAUAAUUUGUCCAUCAAAUUAUCAAAGCCUUUUUUUUUUUUUUUUUUUUACACUGGGCAUCUUCACAGUAAGAAAGUCAGGUGGUUAAGAACCAUUCAGGACUUAAGACUGACACGAACUUUCAAACGUCGGUGCGUUAGGGAGGGCAGGGAGGGGUGACCGGAUGCAUGCUCACACCUGCUGCCCAUUGUCACAUUUUAUGGGUGCAUUCUAUGCCCAAAAUAUGUGAGUACUGCUGAUUUCAUUAUUAUGGGCUGAAGUAUGCAGAAAGCUAACCUCUGGCAAGCAGCAUAUACAUCAAGAGGACAUGAAUGGGCCAACAGCCGUAGAAUGCAUGACAAUGUUGGAUUUCUUACCAGAAAAACAAUAAAUGUUAAAUAAUUAAGAUCUACAUAAAAUCAAUAUAGUUAUAAUGCUUACCCUCCGGGUAACAAAAGUUAUCUGGCUAUAAAAAUUAAGCAUUCUUUUAUUUUCCUGUUUGAGAACGUAGUUUUGUCUUAAAAAUAAUUUUUCAGUUUUUCAAGAAUUUAAACAUUGGAAACAGGUAUUUUUUUAAACGGAGUUCCAAGAAAGAAAGGAAAUGAAAACAAAAACAAAACCAUUUUACUUUUUUAAAAAACAAAACAGGUUAGAAGCACACAUGAUGCUACUCUAUCAACCACUGUUAAAAUGCCAUUUGUGUCAUUUAUAUUCUAAGAUUCCCAAGUAAAAUUAGGCUCAUGACUUCUGCGAGUGGUAGGAAUCAUUUGCUUCCCUUCUCAGAAGAUGAAUGACAGAGACGAAGGCCAGGCGAGAUGGAGAGCAGAUGAGGAAAGGAAGCGCUGGGAGACCGAGCCCACUGAACACAGUUCAACUCUGUACAGUCAGAGAGAAGGAAGUGGCCACUAGUGACUGGGGGGAAAUGGACUUCCUGUGUGAACUGCCUGUGACAGGUUCCUGUAGCUGGCUAGUACAAGGCUGCUCUCUGGUACAGUUGUAGGCUGACGCUGUACUUUAUAAAGUAUGACUCAUAUACUGUCCUCUAGAUCUGCAGUGUAAAGCUACUUCAUCUUUUUUAUCCUCUAUGCUCCCAGCAUCCCUGGAAUGCCCAGCUAACAUUUUCCAUUUUCAGGAAGGAUGAAUCAAUGUGGAUCUGAGAGAAAUCAAUUGUCCAGAACCAACAGCAGGCAAACAGUGUCAACGUUUUCAGUUAUGUUACAGUCCCACAGGAAAGGGAGAAUCCUCGCCCCUAAGCCCGGGCAAUACCCUCUAGCAGGGUAGAGAUCAGUGGUUGUUUGUAUCUCAGUUAGAACAGCAAGGGUUGCAGAGCUGUCUUUUCAAUUAUAAAAUAAACUCUCUAUGCUUUUCCUAUUAGGAUUUGGUGUUUGGAUAUAGGAUUAAACGGAAUCCCAAAGAUCUGGGAAGUGUCAUGCAAGCAGGGUGCUUUCAUAAGGGAGAUAAUUAAAACUGUUUCUUUACUCCCUUCUGAACUGUCAGACACAAAAUGGAGAUCUAGCCAGCUGCAGUGAACACAAGCUACACAGAUAAUCUGCCUCCCAGUGCAAGCCCUCUGACCCAGGACAGAGCAGACAGGGCAUGGAACUGCCACCUGAGAGCAGGGACAACAGAACAGACAGGUACCCAUCAGUUCUGCUCCAGCAAGCAAGCUACUGGGUGGGUGAAACCAGAAACGCUGCAGAAUCCUCUAGUUUCCUCAUUCUCUGCUCUCUGGGCUGAAAACCUGAAUCAUGUCAGUGUGUCUGUCUGUUUUCAAGUGUCUGUAGAAAUGAUCAUAGGAAAUCUGAAUAAACAUACAACAC
ensembl:antisense 4833422C13Rik RIKEN cDNA 4833422C13 gene